GAUGAACGCUGGCGGCGUGCCUAAUACAUGCAAGUCGAGCGAACAGACGAGGAGCUUGCUCCUCUGACAUUAGCGGCGGACGGGUGAGUAACACGUGGAUAACCUACCUAUAAGACUGGGAUAACUUCGGGAAACCGGAGCUAAUACCGGAUAAUAUAUUGAACCGCAUGGUUCAAUAGUGAAAGACGGUUUUGCUGUCACUUAUAGAUGGAUCCGCGCCGCAUUAGCUAGUUGGUAAGGUAACGGCUUACCAAGGCAACGAUGCGUAGCCGACCUGAGAGGGUGAUCGGCCACCCUGGAACUGCGACACGGUCCAGACUCCUAAGGGAGGCAGCAGUAGGGAAUCUUCCGCAAUGGGCGAAAGCCUGACGGAGCAACGCCGCGUGAGUGAUGAAGGUCUUCGGAUCGUAAAACUCUGUUAUUAGGGAAGAACAAAUGUGUAAGUAACUAUGCACGUCUUGACGGUACCUAAUCAGAAAGCCACGGCUAACUACGUG
rnacentral:rRNA from 1 species